GCGCGCUUAGCUCAGUCGGUAGAGCAACUGACUUUUAAUCAGUGGGUCGCAGGUUCGAUUCCUGCAGCGCGCACCA
rnacentral:tRNA from 1 species